AAAGUGCCUGCUUCCUCUUCACUUCCUGCCAUGAUUAUGUUUUCUGAGGCCUCCUAGUCAUGCUUCCUGCUAAGCCUGUGGAACUUGUUCUUCAUAGGAAAUAAUCUGGAGUCCAUUCUCUCUAUCCUGCUUUGUCCUUCCUGAAGUAAGUUCCAGUUUGUCAAUAUCUUAUGCAGAAUGUGGCAUUCAGAAAUAAGGACAAUUCUUCUAGUGAAAUAACUGAUGCUUAUUCUGUCUACAUCUUGUUAUUGCACGGCAAGAACAAGCAGUUGGACCUCAUUCAUCAGGGACCACCACCACUGUGUUCGACACCUUGGGCUAGGGAAGAAUGCUGAAUGUGUUCAUGAUUUGUCUGGGUACUCCUCCCAG
rnacentral:lncRNA from 10 species